rnacentral:rRNA from 1 species
AGUGAACGCUGGCGGUAGGCCUAACACAUGCAAGUCGAACGGCAGCACAGUAAGAGCUUGCUCUUACGGGUGGCGAGUGGCGGACGGGUGAGGAAUACAUCGGAAUCUACUUUUUCGUGGGGGAUAACGUAGGGAAACUUACGCUAAUACCGCAUACGACCUACGGGUGAAAGCAGGGGAUCUUCGGACCUUGCGCGAUUGAAUGAGCCGAUGUCGGAUUAGCUAGUUGGCGGGGUAAAGGCCCACCAAGGCGACGAUCCGUAGCUGGUCUGAGAGGAUGAUCAGCCACACUGGAACUGAGACACGGUCCAGACUCCUACGGGAGGCAGCAGUGGGGAAUAUUGGACAAAGGGCGCAAGCCUGAUCCAGCCAUACCGCGUGGGUGAAGAAGGCCUUCGGGUUGUAAAGCCCUUUUGUUGGGAAAGAAAAGCAGCAGGUUAAUACCCCGCUGUUCUGACGGUACCCAAAGAAUAAGCACCGGCUAAAUUCGUG